rnacentral:ribozyme from 2 species
UUUAUAACUCCGCCUGUGUUCAAGUUAUACUAUGACACAGCCGGUCCCAAGCCCGGAUAAAGGAGGAGGGUUUA